AUGAUAAAAAUUAAACUUUCAUAUAUUUUUAGAUUCUUUGCACACCAACUGAAAUAUUUCAGGUCUUUUUAUUGUUUUAAUACUGAUGAUUUUGGCAUACAGCUCAUGAAAACCCAAAAUUCCUAUCUCAAAAAAUUAGCAUAUUUCAUCCGACCAAUAAAAGAAAAGUGUUUUUAAUACAAAAAAAGUCAACCUUCAAAUAAUUAUGUUCAGUUAUGCACUCAAUACUUGGUCGGGAAUCCUUUUGCAGAAAUGACUGCUUCAAUGCGGCGUGGCAUGGAGGCAAUCAGCCUGUGGCACUGCUGAGGUGUUAUGGAGGCCCAGGAUGCUUCGAUAGCGGCCUUAAGCUCAUCCAGAGUGUUGGGUCUUGCGUCUCUCAACUUUCUCUUCACAAUAUCCCACAGAUUCUCUAUGGGGUUCAGGUGCCAGGUCGUGCUGAAAAACGAAAUCUUCAUCUCCAUAAAGCUUUUCAGCAGAUGGAAGCAUGAAGUGCUCCAAAAUCUCCUGAUAGCUAGCUGCAUUGACCCUGCCCUUGAUAAAACACAGUGGACCAACACCAGCAGCUGACAUGGCACCCCAGACCAUCACUGACUGUGGGUACUUGACACUGGACUUCAGGCAUUUUGGCAUUUCCUUCUCCCCAGUCUUCCUCCAGACUCUGGCACCUUGAUUUCCGAAUGACAUGCAAAAUUUCCUUUCAUCCGAAAAAAGUACUUUGGACCACUGAGCAACAGUCCAGUGCUGCUUCUCUGUAGCCCAGGUCAGGCGCUUCUGCAGCUGUUUCUGGUUCAAAAGCACACGCCUGUGCACGGUGGCUCUGGAUGUUUCUACUCCAGACUCAGUCCACUGCUUCCGCAGGUCCCCCAAGGUCUGGAAUCGGUCCUUCUCCACAAUCUUCCUCAGGGUUCGGUCACCUCUUCUCGUUGUGCAGCGUUUUUUGCCACACUUUUUCCUUCCCACAGACUUCCCACUGAGGUGCCUUGAUACAGCACUCUGGGAACAGCCUAUUCGUUCAGAAAUUUCUUUCUGUGUCUUACCCUCUCGCUUGAGGGUGUCAAUGAUGGCCUUCUGGACAGCAGUCAGGUCGGCAGUCUUACCCAUGAUUGCGGUUUUGAGUAAUGAACCAGGCUGGGAGUUUUUAAAAGCCUCAGGAAUCUUUUGCAGGUGUUUAGAGUUAAUUAGUUGAUUCAGAUGUUUAGGUUAAUAGCUCGUUUAGAGAACCUUUUCAUGAUAUGCUAAUUUUUUGAGAUAGGAAUUUGGGGUUUUCAUGAGCUGUAUGCCAAAAUCAUCAGUAUUAAAACAAUAAAAGACCUGAAAUAUUUCAGUUGGUGUGCAAUGAAUCUAAAAUAUAUGAAAGUUUAAUUUUUAUCAUUACAUUAUGGAAAAUAAUGAACUUUUUCACAAUAUGCUAAUUUUUUGAGAAGGACCUGUAUAACUGUAGAGAAAUGAAAAACAACACUGACAUAAGCAAGUUGUUACUGCAGCUAUCCAAUAAGGUCUAUACGAGACACGUUUCAUUAGUAGUGCUGUGAUUCUUUUUCCUGACCUAACUUUGUGACUUGAUCAACAUUUACGUCGCUAUCACUAAAGGACAAACGUGACUGCUGCUGUGUGCUGAUGCUCAAAGAAAACCUCUUUCUGAAUUCUUUGCGACGCUUCAUUUGCUGUCAGACCUGUAAUCAGCUCUUGAUAACGCAAGCAUUAACACUCGAGGUCAAGAGCAGAGAUCACGGGUGCAGAGAAGAAGUGAAGAAUGACCGAGAGGCUGGAGAGUGUGUUGAUAAGCGGCUUCUCCACUGAAGGAGCUCUGAAACCACUGCGAGACUGUACUGCUGUGGGAAACUGGUCCUGCUCAGCACAGAGAGACAGCUGUCACGUGGAGAACAGCACGAUGUAAUUCAACAUUUAUAAUGAAUCAGAACGCUUUCAGCCAGUUAAGAAAAACAGACAGCACAAUGGAGCCAGUGUGAACAGACUGAAGAGCGUACACCUUUACAAAAACAAUGACUGGUAAAGAAACCAUUAAUCAUCUCAACUAUUCUUAAUGAAGAGUUAGAUAAAUGUUUUAUCUGACAUAUGUGACCCAGUACCACAAAACCAGUCAUAAGGGUCUUUAAAAAAAAAAUAUAUAUAUAUAUAUAUAUAUAUAUAUUUAUAUAUAAGCCUAAAAGUAUUGCUUUAAAGCAUAGCUUAAUAAAAUAUUAAGCUAUGGCAGGAUUUAAUUUCACCGACAUGCCAAUAUUGUUUCAGGCACUACAACUCAAAUCAAUAUUCGUCUGUUCAUUCUUCUCAUACACAGGCGAAAUAAAACAAGAACGAAACAUCAUUCACACUGAUAGAAGAAUAAGCCAACAGAAAGGCAUUAUUGAUCCCUGAGGGCAAAUUCUUUAUAUAUCGUGUUAGAAAACAAACUCAGAUCAGGGGUUGAGGGAAGGCCGUUUACGAGGCUGCAGAGUCUUUCUGGACGAUGAGAGAGGAGCGAUCACUUUCUGUGUGCAGACACAAGGAUAAGCUUGGGUUUAUCUUCUGGUCUCAAGCUGAGCUGCAGGGCAGAGUGUCUGUUUGAUGUGUGCUGGCAUGAGUGCAGUCCCACCACACAG
ensembl:lncRNA